GAACAAACGCUGGCGGCGUGUCUUAAGCAUGCAAGUUGAGCGGCAAGGAGGAGAGAUCCUCCCUAGAGCGGCGGACUGGUGAGUAACGCGUGGGUAAUCUAUCUUAGGCAUGGGGAUAGUCACUAGAAAUAGUGGGUAAUACCGAAUAAGUUCCAUAAGGGGAGGACUUAUGGAAGAAAGGUGCUACGGCACUGGCCUUAGGUGAGCUCGCGUCCCAUUAGCUAGUUGGUGAGGUAAAGGCCCACCAAGGCGAUGAUGGGUAGCCGGCCUGAGAGGGUGUACGGCCACACUGGGACUGAGAUACGGCCCAGACUCCUACGGGAGGCAGCAGCUAAGAGUAUUCCGCAAUGGACGGAAGUCUGACGGAGCGACGCCGCGUGGAUGAAGAAGGCCGAAAGGUUGUAAAGUUCUUUUGCUAGGGGAGAAUAAGCGUGGGAGGGAAUGCCUGCACGAUGACAAGGACUAGCGAAUAAGUCCCGGCCAACUACGUGCCAGCAGCCGCGGUAACACGUAGGGGGCGAGCGUUGUUCGGAAUUACUGGGCGUAAAGGGCAUGUAGGCGGCUUGGUAAGCCUGGCGUGAAAGUCUGCAGCUUAACUGUAGGGAUGCGUUGGGAACUGCUUAGCUUGAGUUACGGAGAGGGAGCUGGAAUUCCUGGUGUAGGGGUGAAAUCUGUAGAUAUCAGGAAGAACACCGAUGGCGAAGGCAAGCUUCUGGCCGACAACUGACGCUGAGGUGCGAAAGUGUGGGGAUCAAACAGGAUUAGAUACCCUGGUAGUCCACACAGUAAACGAUGAUUACUAGUUGUUUGCGAUACAAUGUAAGCGACUGAGCGAAAGCAUUAAGUAAUCCACCUGGGGAGUACGUUCGCAAGAAUG
rnacentral:rRNA from 1 species